GCCGUGGCUUAGUUGGUCAAAGCGCCUCUCUUGUAAACAGGAAAUCGUGAGUUCGAAUUUCGCCGAAGGUA
rnacentral:tRNA from 1 species